rnacentral:rRNA from 1 species
CCUACGGUGGGCAGCAGUGAGGAAUAUUGGUCAAUGGCCGGACGGCCGAACCAGCCAAGUCGCGUGAGGGAAUAAGGCCCUAUGGGUCGUAAACCUCUUUUGUCAGGGAGCAAAGGCGUCCACGUGUGGACGAGAGGAGAGUACCUGAAGAAAAAGCAUCGGCUAACUCCGUGCCAGCAGCCGCGGUAAUACGGAGGAUGCGAGCGUUAUCCGGAUUUAUUGGGUUUAAAGGGUGCGUAGGCGGAGUGUCAAGUCAGCGGUAAAAUUUCGGGGCUCAACCCCGUCGUGCCGUUGAAACUGACGCCCUUGAGUGAGUGAGAAGUAAGCGGAAUGCGUGGUGUAGCGGUGAAAUGCAGAGAUAUCACGCAGAACGCCGAUUGCGAAGGCAGCUUGCUGCAGCGGAACUGACGCUGAUGCUCGAAAGCGCGGGUAUCGAACAGGAUUAGAUACCCCUGUAGUC